GACACAAUUACCAAACACAAGGUGGUGCUACAGCAGCAUUAUUAUUAGUCCAUAAUACAAAAUAAAACAACAGUCUCCUUUAAACCUUUAAGUGUCUUUAAUCCUCAUAUUUGCAGCAGUAAACUCACACAAAUUCUCAGACAAUCAAGUAUAAAAUAAUCUGGUGGCAUUCUUUAAAAUGUACAGCCCCUCUGAAAGCAGUUCUCAGGACUGAUGUCCAGAUUUUCUUCUAAGCAAAUACCACUAGAUCUUUGGAUAUUUCUUCUUUCUAAACAGACUCUACAUACCAGAAAAAAAAAUUACCUGUCCCAAUAUACAACUGGCAACUAGCUAUAGCCUUCCUUUACAUUACUCCACAAAUCCCUUCUAUGUGGAUGGUCUUCACUCUUAAAAAAUAUGCAAGAAAAAUGGAAAAGCUUAUGACUUUCUUGCAUGGUUCUUCAAGGACCUUCCUCCAGAAGGUCCAAGAGACCUAUAGUUGCUGCAUCUUGCUUCCGUAUGGCAAACUAAUGGAUUCCUUUGGAUUUCAUUAUCACCAGUAUGAUGAUGGCACACUUUCACGUACUUCCUUGUUUCUCUCUGCUCCAGACCCGUUCUCUACUACAUUGUGUUAGUCACCUAUUUACUAAGCUUAAUACCUUUACUACUCUAAUCUCUAAUAUAGACUCCUAAAAGUCUGCCAUCUGUCUCCACCUUAUGCAGUGGAAAUUGGUUCUCAGGGGCAAGUGGGCCAAUUUGUUCAUUAAAAAAAAAAAAUCAAAUCCAUUGACAUAAUAUCAUACUACAUGCAAAAAAAUAACUAUAAAUAUUGACAAACUGUAU